rnacentral:rRNA from 1 species
UACGUAGGGGGGCAAGCGUUGUCCGGAUUUAUUGGGCGUAAAGCGCUCGCAGGUGGUUCAUUGCGUCGUGCGUGAAAGACCCCGGCUCAACUGGGGAGGGUCGUGCGAAACGGGUGAACUAGAGGCCAGUAGGGGGGAUGCGGAAUUCCGGGUGUAGUGGUGGAAUGCGUAGAGAUCCGGAGGAACACCAGCGGCGAAGGCGGCAUCCUGGACUGGUCCUGACACUCAGGAGCGAAAGCGUGGGGAGCGAUCCGG